AUGCCAAUGGCACUGCCCGGUAGCUAAAUGCGGAAGAGAUAAGUGCUGAAAGCAUCUAAGCACGAAACUUGCCCCGAGAUGAGUUCUCCCUGACUCCUUGAGAGUCCUGAAGGAACGUUGAAGACGACGACGUUGAUAGGCCGGAUGUGUAAGCGCAGCGAUGCGUUGAGCUAACCGGUACUAAUGAACCGUGAGGCUUAACCUU
rnacentral:rRNA from 1 species